UAUAAGGGAUUUUGAGUUUUUGCUUGCAAUGUUUGAUCACUCGUCUUAUUCAAAUUUUUUUGAAAUUAUUAAUUAUUUUAUUUGUGACUUACUUUAUUAUCUACAGUACUUUAAACACAACUUUUCGUUUUUUACAUUUAAAAAAAAAUUUGAAUAAGACGAGUGGUCAAACAUUGCAAGCAAAAACUAAAAAUCCCUUAUA
rnacentral:pre_miRNA from 1 species